rnacentral:rRNA from 1 species
UACGUAGGGUGCGAGCGUUAAUCGGAAUUACUGGGCGUAAAGCGUGCGCAGGCGGUUCGUCGUGUCUGAUGUGAAAGCCCCGGGCUCAACCUGGGAAUGGCAUUGGAAACUGGCGGACUAGAGUGUGGCAGAGGGGGGUGGAAUUCCGCGUGUAGCAGUGAAAUGCGUAGAGAUGCGGAGGAACACAGAUGGCGAAGGCAGCCCCCUGGGCUAACACUGACGCUCAGGCACGAAAGCGUGGGGAGCAAACAGG